UACUUUCUAGAAUAUUCGUUAAGCUCUUAUUUUGAACCUACAUUUUAAAUUCGGGAGUCCGAUAAGCUAGAUGGGGAAAUGUACUUUCUUGUGAGUCCUUUUACGGCAUUGAAGGCGAUUGAAUCAUCUACACUGACACCCACCUAUCAGGAGAUAGGUGUCAAAAUUAGAGUACCGGUAUUUUGGAUAUUAU
rnacentral:other from 1 species